rnacentral:misc_RNA from 1 species
CAGAGUCUCCCGACUCCCAAACCUUGUGAACAUACCACUGUUGCCUCGGCGUCACGCCCCGGGGGCGCUCCGGCGCUUCCGGACCAGGCGUCCGCCGGGGCUCCAAACCUCUUGAAUUCCAGCGGACUUCUGAGUAACAAAACAAAUAAGUUA